CUACGGGGUGCUCCAGUGGGGAAUAUUGGGCAAUGGGCGAAAGCCUGACCCAGCAACGCCGCGUGAUUGAAGAAGGCUUUCGGGUUGUAAAAAUCUGUCCUUGGGGACGAAGAAGUGACGGUACCCAAGGAGGAAGCCCCGGCUAACUACGUGCCAGCAGCCGCGGUAAUACGUAGGGGGCGAGCGUUGUCCGGAAUUACUGGGCGUAAAGGGUGCGCAGGCGGCGCUUUAAGUCAGAUGUGAAAUACCCAUGCUUAACGUGGGGGGUGCAUUUGAAACUGGAGCGCUUGAGUGCAGGAGGGAAAGUGGAAUUCCUAGUGUAGCGGUGAAAUGCGUAGAUAUUAGGAGGAACACCAGUGGCGAAGGCGACUUUCUGGACUGUAACUGACGCUGAGGCACGAAAGCGUGGGGAGCAAACAGGAUUAGAUACCCUUGUAGUC
rnacentral:rRNA from 1 species